UACGUAGGGGGCAAGCGUUGUCCGGAAUCAUUGGGCGUAAAGAGCGUGUAGGCGGCUCGAUAAGUCCGCUGUGAAAGUCCAGGGCUCAACCCUGGAAGGCCGGUGGAAACUGUCGGGCUAGAGUCCGGAAGAGGCGAGUGGAAUUCCCGGUGUAGCGGUGAAAUGCGCAGAUAUCGGGAGGAACACCAAUGGCGAAGGCAGCUCGCUGGGACGGUACUGACGCUGGGGUGCGAAAGCAUGGGGAGCGAACAGG
rnacentral:rRNA from 1 species